UGCCGUGCCAUGGAGAUUGCAAUUGGGGCGGUUCUUCCUCUGACAAAGCACAGGUGGUGCAAGUGGCAUGUUUUGCACAAGGCAAAGGAAAACCUUGGGCCAGUGUAUGCUAAGAAUGCAGGCUUUCGGGACGAGCUACACAAGAUCUGCCACCAUAUGCUUACUAUAGAUGAAUUUGAGUCUGCGUGGGGAGAGUUGAUCGGAAAGUAUGCUCUUCAGGACCACCCAUUUUUUGACCCAGAUAUACGAUGUCCGCCAGAAAUGGGCGAAACCAUACUUCUCCGGAGUAUUCUGCGCUAGGAUGACCAGCACACAGGGUUCGGAGAGUGCAAAUCAUAUGCUGAAGUUGUAUGUGCCGCCUGGAUGCAGCAUGAAUAUGUUUGUUAGAGGUUAUAAUAAGUUGCAGUUCCAGAGAGAUGAGGAGGAAAACUUCGAGGAGAAGCGCAGCAGACUGUGCUGAGUUUUAUUAAACAGCGGCGGACCGAUCGAGAAGCAUGCAAGUAAGAUAUACACGCCGUCCCUGUUUGAACUGUUCGAAGUCCAGAUCUUCCAGUCGGCUUCGUACACUGCGCAAGAGAUCAUUAGGGGAUCAAGGUAUAUUGUCAUUCACUUCGACGUGGAGAAGAAGGAGAGGUGGUCACGCGGGGCAUUUGAGGUCAGAAUAGAUACGACAAGAGACUAUUUUCAGUGCGAUUGCGGGAUGUAUGAGCAUAUGGGUAUGAUAUGCUGCCACGUUAUAAGGGUCUUAUCCUUCUUGGGAAGAACUGAAAUACCAGGCUGUCACAUUAUGCAGAGAUGGACCAGGAAUGCAUGCAGAGACUUGCCCGAGCAUCUUAGAAUGUACCAGAAGGAUAGUCCGGCGUUGCAAUCAACAAGUUUCCGUCACACAGCUCUGUACAGAACCGCACUCGAGAUGGUACAGUUAGGCGACUCGAAUCCAGAGUCAUUCGAGGUUGCUAUGAGCAGCAUGUUAGAUGCAAUGCCCAAGAUCUCAGAGGCAAGUAGGAUAAGUGAUGGUUUGGGGCUGGAACAGAGGUUUCAUACAUCAGGCAUGGGCGAAACCAUAGAUGAUACUUCUGAUCACGGUGUUGAUCCAGAACGGAUUAGCUUCAGUCCAGAGAUGAUUGCUCCUUACAAGAAGGCGGAUUUAGGACGACCCACUUCAGCAAGAGCGAAGCCUGGAUACGAGGUGAGUGUGCCAAGGACUCGCUUCUGCUCUGUGUGCCGCAGCAGGCAUCACAAUGCUGGGUCUUGCCCCUCGGUGGAGAGGAGCUCUAAGAAGCCUAGGCGAGAGGCACGGUGCUCCAACUGUGGAGUAGUUGGUCAUAAGAAGAAUGUGUGUAUAUCAAAGGGGUAUACGGUGACGAACCGGUGAGUUUAAUCACUGGUUUCUAUUUCAGUCUAACACAUCUCGUGUUAACUGAUUUUUUUUGACGCGAUCCAAUCAUAAUGUCGGUAUUAUUCAUUGGCUCGCUGGACCUAUUUUUUGUAAUAGGCAGUACAGAUGGCGGGUGUUCUGUCAACCAUGAGAUGGGUCUGGUUCAUUUUUUCUGUGCAUGUAACACUGCACAGAGGUGGCAUUGUACCUUUGGGCUGUUACCCUUAUUUUUUUGAAUGAAGCAAUGCAUGCUGAUUUGAUACCCA